CACGUAGGGCGCAAGCGUUGUCCGGAAUUAUUGGGCGUAAAGAGCUCGUAGGCGGUCUGUUGCGUCCGCUGUGAAAACCCGGGGCUUAACCCCUGGCUUGCAGUGGAUACGGGCAGACUAGAGGUAGGUAGGGGAGAAUGGAAUUCCCGGUGUAGCGGUGAAAUGCGCAGAUAUCGGGAGGAACACCGGUGGCGAAGGCGGUUCUCUGGGCCUUACCUGACGCUGAGGAGCGAAAGCGUGGGGAGCGAACAGG
rnacentral:rRNA from 1 species